UCACAUUUUAAUGUAAAAGCUUAUAACUAGGAGGUACUUUACUCCAAUCUAUUUGUACGUACUUAAAGAUACAAAGUAAUCUAAUGUACAGUCACGGAAUGAAAAGGUUCGUCACCUUAGUGUCGGUUUUCGCUUGCACUAGGUACUGUAAGAGUCAAACCUGCCAACAUAACAGUGCAAGAAACAGUGCUGCUAACAUUUAAAUAAAUAUGACGUUUGCUAACGAAUAAGGUUUUGCUUGUUUAUUUUUCUAUCCUAUCAGUGCAAUGUUACAAAAUGUAGUUUUUUUUAUUUAAUAGAUAAUGGCAGGUUGAACCAACAAGAAGGUUUUAGUUUAUCAAUCAUAAUAAUCUUCUUGACAAGUUAAAUC